UUUUCACUCAAGGUUUUAAAACUUUAAAAGCUUUGCAAAAAAGUAUUUGGGUUGCUACUCUGAGCUCUGUCAACUGAGUUUGUGUCCCUGCUCUACCCCUGAUGUGAUGAUCUGUAAUGCACUGUCUACCUUUCAGUAUUCAGUAUACUACUCAGCAUUUCAGUGCACACGUUCUGCAGGGUAACAUGAGGUCAGAAACGGUAACAGAAACCAGAAAGGCCGGAAGAUUAGAAGAUUACUUACAUACUGAGAACAGUAAGCAAUUAUUCAAUUGCCACUAAAUCAUAGAAAUUGUACUGAGGGGGUUACUCAUAUUUUCCUUUAUCUAUACAGAAAUAUGAAAGGUCGCUUGAUCAGAUUACCCUGUUCUGUGGAUCAGAGAGGCUCAGAGAUUUGCUCUAAGCUUGCGUGUGACAAAGUAAGGAGGGAACUUAAGACAUCUUAUUUGGAAAUGUACUCUUGUUACUAAGAUAUAAGUGGUCGUUGAUACAGUUGGGAAGAUCUGUGAACACACUUGUAUGUAGAAUUAAGAUCGGCACCAUCCUCACAUGCUUUUUCUUCUCUAAGGGAGCUCCAGAAAGAAGCUUGCAGUGUAUCCUGGAGCUAGUCCCCAUGCAUAUUAGUAUAACCCCACAGGCUAUCAAAGCCAUAAGUGGGGUCAUACAGUUCAUUCACGCUCCUCCCUAAAGCACAUUUCCAAAGUAAGUUUUACAGUUUUUUCAAAUGCUUAGAUACACUUUGAUUUAUUUAAAUAUACCUCCACGGCUGGAAAGAUUUAGAUUAUUUCCAAUUUAUUAGCCACGAGAGCAAAGUAUGAAGAAUUGAAUUCAGGCCCUUGUAUGAACGUUUCUAAGAGCGGGGAAUCAUGAGAGGGACCAAGGGAUCAGAUCUGACUUUCUCCAUGUUACAGAGACAGCUGUGCUGACCAUGGAGAGCACGCAGAGGUCCAUCAACAGCAGCUCUGUGCUGCAUCUUGAGAACUGAGCUGAGUGGAUCUGACCCCGAGCUGCUGAUGUUCCUCUUCCUCCUUCUGUGUUACCAUUUCCGGUUUGAUUUUACUUCGUUUCAUGCUGUUGGUACUUUGCCCCUCCCUUCUAGUUCUUUCUCUUCCUCUUUACUUGUGGAAUGUGUCCCCUGCCUUUGAAGGAGGAAACCACACAGCGAUCUUGUGCACUCCAGGAACUGGUAGUGAGCGCUUACUAUCACGUCGGUCACCAACCCUUCCUGACCGCCCAAGGAGCAUGGAGCACGGCUUUACUCAGUGGGCUGAGACCACGGUCUCUGGCGCACAGGGCACAGUGGAGAGCAGUGACUGAUGGAUCACAGGAGGAAGGGCUCCAGCUGUGUGAUCCAGCCCUCUCAGUGCCAGUGAACUUCCUGACUUCCUGGUGUUUGACUUCCGCACGAAGACAGCGUUGACCGCUGACGGGGGACCUAAGAUCCAUCUGUUCUUUUUUACAUCGUGGAUGGUGCAGAGAAACUGCAAUGGUGUCAUUACACUGCCACUGUCCUCUCAACAGUCCCCAUGGCUCCUUCCAGAAAGUUCCUGGCUAUUAUGGAGGUCCCACUUUACAAGUACAAUGAGCUGCUGAGGUCUUGUUCUGAGGAGUCACCUCCCUAUUUUGACCAACUUUCAGGACUUGCUGAACUAAGUUUAGGAGGCCUCAGUGGGCAGAAGCGAGAAGCCUUGGAAUGAUUUCAGAGCGGGGUUGGGUUCCAACCCUGCAGUAGGGGCUUUCUUUCCAGAAGGCAUCUAUCAGCAAUGAAGUGUUACCAAGGAGGGUGAGUGAGCAUGUUUUCAGGCCCAAAGUGAGUCCCCAAGACUGGAUUGCCAGCUGGCUCCAAGGGCUGCAGGAAAGGGAGGGACAAGCAUAUCUCUGAGAGCCCACUAGGUGGCAGACUUUUUCCUUAUGCGUAUCCUCAAGGGUUUGGGGGACACUAUGGUCUCAAAGUCACUAUAAGGGGCCAUUGAGAUACAAAUUCUGAGGUCCAGACCACCCCUGGGCACUCCAAUUCAACUGGGUCCUCAGGUUCUCCUUUCUCCUUCCCUCUUGUCCUUUCACUGGAAGAUUCUCUAUGAAGUCCACGCUGGCCUCGAACUCACCCUCCCUGGGCUUGCACUGCAUUUGGAGUGCUGUGGUUACAGAGUGGAUCGCCACACACAGCUUAGACUCUCACCUCCCUAAGCUGCUGGAAGUUCCGUUAGUGCCACUAACUGUGUGCAGCACUGGGCACAGAAUAAAGCAGCAUGGGCUCAAGAAGGGAGGAGGUGGCACAAUCCCUGACGCGCAGGAUGCGAAGGGUUCCAGGGCUAUCCGCUUGGUGCGAUUGCUGCUAACGGAGCACACGGAUGUGCUGUUCAAAAUGUUAGCUAGAAACUCCAAGCACGCUCCAAGCAAAAUACAUUUAAGAGUAUUUUACAUGUAAGUCAACGAUUGGCAGGCUAUUUGAAGUAAAAGGGCACUAAGAAAUUGCAGGCAUUAGAGACCAAUGAAUUCCUCUUCUUGCUUAAGACUUUGUUUGACACAGUUCUGGCCACAUGUGGCUGACUAGGAAAGUCUGACAGCACCAAACUGGUCCGUGCCUGGCUUGGUGAGUGACAGUCACUGGUGUUGCCAGCUGGUUGCAGGUGCUGAGAAGGUGCUGUGAAAGUUCCUGAAGCUUGAAUCGGCAGAGAGUUAUAUGGAUCAGCCCACAUACCACACGUGAAAGUAUUCUGAGCUAGUUCAGACAGACUACUAAUUUCAGGUGCGGCUUACUGUGUGACUUUUAGCAGCCAGUUGAUUGUUUUUGAAUCGCUGAACCCCAAGUAAACCUUUGUGCAUCAACUCAAGGUCAUUUAGUUCCUAUGGGUGAUGGCUGGAGUUCUUGGAGUGAGGCUAAUGUGUCCUUUGGCUCACGUGUUCCUUUUUUUCACAGUUAGACAUCAAGCAUAAUGUCCUGCACACAGUAGGCCCCGUACAAGCACUAGAAGAGCAGGCCAGGGCAUGAACUGCUUUAAGGCUGGCAGCCAGUCAGGAAGUAGACACCCACUAUGAACGGCCAUCUGACAGAACUUUCCUCAUGAGCUCUACAAAUGUAACAGCAGAUCAUGGAGCAGACAAGAAGAGUCAACUCCCACGGGCAAACCUAGGCACCAUUCAUUGGUGUCCUAAUCUAUGAGGGAAAUUUACCAUAGUAGAUUCCUGUGCUACAGGGCUUGGGCCACUUAGGUGUCAUUUCCCCACCGAGUCAGCACAGAAUUUUAAGCCCAGAUCCAAGUGAACCUUCGUGGUGUCUCUGGAAACCUCACAAAGUUCGCCUCUGUUGAUUUUCUUUCAACAGUGGAAUAAUGAAAAUGCACUUAUGAUUUUGGAAGACCAGAGCUUCUCGAACAGCCGCCCACCCCACCAUCACCAUCAUCAUCUGUUUAACUCUGCUGGCAGAAACCCUCAUUCUGCAGUCACGGAGUUUAUAUGAUGGAAGGAUGGAUAGCCACAGGGGAAAACGGUGCACCCUAAGUCAGGUAGUGUGCUGAAUAGUUAAGCACAGUAUCUAAUAGAGCUUUAUCAACAACGUAUGUGAGUUUGCUCUAAACACACAGUGGAAAGGCUGGUGUUCUAGCUCAAGUGUGUCAAUCUCAAAGUGUUGUGUUCUUAGCCUCUGUACUGUAGAAUUUUAAAUCAGAAGGCUCUCUCUCUCUCUCUCUCUCUCUCUCUCUGACAUGGUCUCCUAUUUAGCUGUAGUGCUAUCCUCCUGCCUCAGCAUACUGUGUGCUGGAACUCCCCUACCUUCUCUUACUUUCAAAAUAUAUCAACAGACAAAAGUUUACUACUUCAAAUUCUGUAUAACCAAGAACAAAAUCCCUCAUCAAUGAUAGGGGCAACUCUCCGUGUAUGAAUGAGCUUGGGUUCCAGUUGUGAAUGAGUCAAACUCUGUUCGCUGGGCUCUUAAAUCAUUUUGUAAAAACCAAAGACAGGCAUGGUUUUACUGCGACCUAUAUAAUCUGAAGAAACAAUUUUCUAGCAAAUCUGAACUGUGGUUCAGGUGAAAAUGAGCACAUUCCCACGGACACACGGACACCCACCUGGUUUACAUCCCGAUUCCUUUGGAAAAAAAAAUCUUAUUUUGCCAUUUAAAAAAAAUAUCCUCUUCAAAAUUUUAAAGAACUUCACUUACAAAUGUCUGCAUAAACAAGACUUUAAUACUAGCUAGCUAUAUCAAUGGGCAUAUCAAUGUGGAAGUGGAAGGAUUACACAGGGUCUCACCCCUGAACAAGGGUACAGGUGCGUAAUGACCGCUGAAAAUGGGAGACUUGGUCUCUCCAGGGAUCAGCCUACUCAUUAGUUGUCCUGAAGCAAUGUGUCUGUAAACAGCGAAACAGACUAACAGGUUGCAUUUGUAUGUCUGUGCAUAAAUAAACAUAUAUACAUAAUAAUACAUACAUACACACAUAUGUACACACAUGCACAUACAUACACACAGACAUACACAUAUAUACACACAAUACAAACAUACCUACAUACGUAUACCAUUAUAAUAAUAAUAAUAAAAAGAAGCUAUCGAUUGGAGAGUGGGGAGGGAACCUGGGAGGAACUGAAGGGAAGAAAGGGAGAAGGGAGGGGACUGUAGUGUCAUUUCAGUUUAGAACAUUAAAAUGACCCUUUAUACUUCUAAGUAAUCAAUGCGGAAGUACAAACAUCACAUUUCAAAAGGAACAUGGUAUUUCUGCCUAUUCUUCAGCCAGAGCUGAGGACGCCAUCUUUGGAUAUUGUGUUUCAUGUGAAAACAUCUGCCUCGAUUUCCCAGGGAAACCAGAAGGUACAAUGAGGUUCUAAAGUAUUUCCAGAAAGGCAGGAAGACCUGGGUGGCCAAUGUUCAUGACAGGCUUCCUCAUGGCGUCACCUCCACAUGUCUCCACACGGGAGGCAUUCUCAUUUGACUGUGAGAUUUUCAGUUUCCAAAACGAAAAUGUAAACUUCAUCACAAGUAAAAACCAAAAAGCCAGUUUCGACAGUUUUAGCUUGUAAACUCUGGACCGGCAAAGCAUGGGGAGUUAUAAGAACCUGGACACUUGAAGACACAGACUGGUUUAAGAAGCAAAGAUUUUGGGCGACCGUAAGACCGUAAAGCGAUCAGCAUGGGAGACAUCUGUCAGGUGGGGUGGCCUGAGGUGAGACAGGGCUAAGUCUUAUGUGAUCAGGACCCGGGGCCACGUUAGCUGGGGUUUGUUUCCCCCUCAUGAGGUGACAACCUCCUAAUCUUCUCUUGGUGAUGGUGACAGAGGAUUUAUGGACCACAGACAUUAAAAUCUCCCUGUCAAGUAUGAACUGUCUAUUUAGGUUAAUGGCCGGCGUCACAAUCCCUCCAGCUACUGUAGAUAAUCAGGAUAGGAAACGUAUUCGCGUGCACAUGCUGGCAGACUCAGCUAAAAGCAAGUGCACGAGUGCAACAAUGUCUGCUUCCACUCAGACACAAGCAGAAUCUAAAACCAAAACCAUAACAUAUUUGUUCAUUGAAAAAAUAAAAAGGAUCUCUUCCUGA